AGAGUUUGAUCCUGGCUCAGAGUGAACGCUGGCGGCGUGGUUUAGGCAUGCAAGUCGAACGAUACCGCAAGGUAUAGUGGCAAAAGGGUGCGUAACGCGUGAGCAAUCUACCUUUAAGUGGGGAAUAACCCUGGGAAACCGGGGCUAAAACCGCAUAUGACCACGGCUCGGAAUCGAGCUGUGGUAAAAGAUGGGGACCGUAAGGCCUGUCGCUUAGAGAUGAGCUCGCGUCCUAUCAGCUUGUUGGCGGGGUAACGGCCCACCAAGGCUUUUGACGGGUAGCUGGUCUGAGAGGAUGGUCAGCCACAUUGGGACUGAGACACUGCCCAGACUCCUGCGGGAGGCUGCAGUCGAGAAUCUUUUGCAAUGCCCGAAAGGGUGACAAUGCGACGCCGCGUGUGCGAUGAAGGUCUUCGGAUUGUAAAGCACUGUCAGUCGGGAGGAAGGUGACUCUAUCGAACAGAUGGAGUUGCUGACAGUACCGGCAGAGGA
rnacentral:rRNA from 1 species